GAUGAACGCUAGCGGGAGGCCUAACACAUGCAAGCCGAGCGGUAUAGAAUCUUCGGAUUUUAGAGAGCGGCGUACGGUGCGGAACACGUGUGCAACCCUACCUUUAUCUGGAGGAUAGCCUUUCGAAAGGAAGAUUAAUACUCCAUAAUAUAUUGAUUGGCAUCAAUUAAUAUUGAAAGCUCCGGCGGAUAGAGAUGGGCACGCGCAAGAUUAGUUAGUUGGUGAGGUAACGGCUCACCAAGACGAUGAUCUUUAGGGGGCCUGAGAGGGUGAUCCCCCACACUGGUACUGAGACACGGACCAGACUCCUACGGGAGGCAGCAGUGAGGAAUAUUGGACAAUGGGUGCAAGCCUGAUCCAGCCAUCCCGCGUGAAGGACGACUGCCCUAUGGGUUGUAAACUUCUUUUGUAUAGGGAUAAACCUCUCCUCGUGAGGAGAGCUGAAGGUACUAUACGAAUAAG
rnacentral:rRNA from 1 species